UCCAUAUUUCCUUUUAAAGGGAAUGUCUGUUUGUGUUUUAAACCUGCCGAUCAAAAAUAUCAUACUAAAAAGUAUUUCUGGGCACUUUGCUAUUCAACCUGUUCAGUGAUGCUGCACACAGCCAAGGAGCAGGCAGCCCUGGCUCAGAGCACUGAGUUCGAUGUUUCAGCACUGAAUCUAUACCAUCAAGCACUUAUCAAAGUGAAUCUGCACUUGGCCAGUAGCCUUACAUUGUAUAGGUGUGUUUCAAGUACUCCUCUAAAUACUACUUGAAUGGUGAGAAUUCAAGUCUCUACUGCCCUUUCUGAUAGAGUUCCAAAUAUCCAACAUCCUUUGAAUCCUAAACCUCCUACCUCUUACAAUAAACCAGUCUACAUUGGUCAUUGACACCGCUCAAGGGAAAGGUUUCUCCCUGUUUAUGCCCCUCAUAAUUUUGUAUACCUCAAUCAAGUCUUGUCUUCCUGCAAAUUCUAAACACAUUCCACUCCAGUCUUCUCUUUCAUAGCUAAUAUGCUCUGUUCAGGGGUAACAUCAUGGUGAAUCUCCUCUGCACCCUGUCUAAUACAGUCACACCUUCAGAGAAUGUGGUGACCAGACCUGCACACAAUUCUGUACCUGUGGUCUAGCUGAAGUUCUGUACAGCUCUACCUCCCUGCUGUUGUAAUCAAUCUUGAUUAAUAAAGGCAAGUAUUCUCUAUGCUGCCUUAAACACUGAAAAUACUAUGUCUUUUUAUUCUGUACCUUUAAUUGUGAACUGAAAUGAGAAAAGUGGUUUUAAAACAAAGUAUUGCUGCAUUGUUUUGAAAGCAAAUCACCUAGCAUGCAUUGUAAACACUUUAUCCCACUGUAACUGAAAUGUAGUUUGCCAACAAACUACAACAGAAGGCUAAUGUAGAAAUGGAGCUCUGGUUGGUUACAAGUAGCUGAUUAGUCUAUGAUCAGUUAUUGAUGUCUGCCUACCAGCAAUGAUAUGAUUGGUUGUCAGGUAACUGAACCUUUUACUGCUUGGAACAAGAUAGAGAAGCCAGCAGGCCUCUGCAGUUUUGAUGCUCUCUGCAAUAAAUGCUAAUUCAAGCCUGAAGAAAACCAGUACAUUUUUUCAGCAGUUGCUGUAAGGUGUGACUUUUUAUAUUAGUAGCUUAGACACCUUCCGUAAGAAUGAACCUGCACCUUGUGCCUCCUGCACCCCAGUGAAAACAUCUAGAGAAGAAAUACCGACCAGCAGCAUUCUCUUCAACAUAAGAACCAUCAGCAGAUCCUGCAAACAGACCACUGAACUGAUUUGCCAGUUAUUCCUCUAUCUGUAACAUCUCUUGAUGGUUUGUGUGUGUCUGUUUCUAUAGUGUUUAGAGUUUUCAGUAAGAGUUCUACCAAUGAUUCAUGAUUCCUAAACUGUUCAUAAUAAACAAUAAUUCUUUUAAGGUUUAAAAACCUGGAACAUGAUUUUUGUCAACCUGGGUUUAAAAGACAGAAAUUGGGAAUUAUUUUGCACACUUCUGGAGAAUCUUAACUUUAUGAUUUCCAUCUGAAAUCUAUGAUUCCUUCUUUCCAUAAAUCACUAUCUCAUCAUUUUAUCACCUUUUUUGACUGUAGGC